rnacentral:rRNA from 1 species
UACGUAGGGGGCAAGCGUUGUCCGGAUUUACUGGGCGUAAAGCGUGCGCAGGCGGUUUCGUAAGUCUGUCGUGAAAUCCCCGGGCUUAACCUGGGAAUGGCGAUGGAGACUGCGAGGCUAGAGUUUGGCAGAGGGGGGUAGAAUUCCACGUGUAGCAGUGAAAUGCGUAGAGAUGUGGAGGAACACCGAUGGCGAAGGCAGCCCCCUGGGUCAAAACUGACGCUCAUGCACGAAAGCGUGGGGAGCAAACAGG